rnacentral:rRNA from 1 species
UACGAAGGGGGCUAGCGUUGCUUGGAAUCACUGGGCGUAAAGGGCGCGUAGGCGGAUCUUUAAGUCGGGGGUGAAAGCCCAGGGCUCAACCCUGGAAUUGCCUUCGAUACUGGAGAUCUUGAGACCGGAAGAGGUAAGUGGAACUGCGAGUGUAGAGGUGAAAUUCGUAGAUAUUCGCAAGAACACCAGUGGCGAAGGCGGCUUACUGGUCCGGUUCUGACGCUGAGGCGCGAAAGCGUGGGGAGCAAACAGG